rnacentral:rRNA from 1 species
AGCGAACGCUGGCGGCAGGCCUAACACAUGCAAGUCGAACGAACCUUUCGGGGUUAGUGGCGGACGGGUGGGUAACACGUGGGAACGUGCCUUUAGGUUCGGAAUUACUCAGGGAAACUUGUGCUAAUACCGAAUGUGCCCUUCGGGGGAAAGAUUUAUCGCCUUUAGAGCGGCCCGCGUCUGAUUAGCUAGUUGGUUGAGGUAAUGGCUCACCAAGGCGACGAUCAGUAGCUGGUCUGAGAGGAUGAUCAGCCACAUUGGGACUGAGACACGGCCCAAACUCCUACGGGAGGCAGCAGUGGGGAAUCUUGCGCAAUGGGCGAAAGCCUGACGCAGCCAUGCCGCGUGAAUGAUGAAGGUCUUAGGAUUGUAAAAUUCUUUCACCGGGGACGAUAAUGACGGUACCCGGAGAAGAAGCCCCGGCUAACUUCGUG